GAGUAAAACAGAGGUAAGAGAAAGUCAGACUCACCCCAUCUCAUUGUAAAUUAAGAGUAAAACAGAGGUAAGAGAAAGUCAGACUCACCCCAUCUCAUUGUAAAUUAAGAGUAAAACAGAGGUAAGAGAAAGUCAGACUCACCCCAUCUCAUUGUAAAUUAAGAGUAAAACAGAGGUAAGAGAAAGUCAGACUCACCCCAUCUCAUUGUAAAUUAAGAGUAAAACAGAGGUAAGAGAAAGUCAGACUCACCCCAUCUCAUUGUAAAUUAAGAGUAAAACAGAGGUAAGAGAAAGUCAGACUCACCCCAUCUCAUUGUAAAUUAAGAGUAAAACAGAGGUAAGAGAAAGUCAGACUCACCCCAUCUCAUUGUAAAUUAAGAGUAAAACAGAGGUAAGAGAAAGUCAGACUCACCCCAUCUCAUUGUAAAUUAAGAGUAAAACAGAGGUAAGAGAAAGUCAGACUCACCCCAUCUCAUUGUAAAUUAAGAGUAAAACAGAGGUAAGAGAAAGUCAGACUCACCCCAUCUCAUUGUAAAUUAAGAGUAAAACAGAGGUAAGAGAAAGUCAGACUCACCCCAUCUCAUUGUAAAUUAAGAGUAAAACAGAGGUAAGAGAAAGUCAGACUCACCCCAUCUCAUUGUAAAUUAAGAGUAAAACAGAGGUAAGAGAAAGUCAGACUCACCCCAUCUCAUUGUAAAUUAAGAGUAAAACAGAGGUAAGAGAAAGUCAGACUCACCCCAUCUCAUUGUAAAUUAAGAGUAAAACAGAGGUAAGAGAAAGUCAGACUCACCCCAUCUCAUUGUAAAUUAAGAGUAAAACAGAGGUAAGAGAAAGUCAGACUCACCCCAUCUCAUUGUAAAUUAAGAGUAAAACAGAGGUAAGAGAAAGUCAGACUCACCCCAUCUCAUUGUAAAUUAAGAGUAAAACAGAGGUAAGAGAAAGUCAGACUCACCCCAUCUCAUUGUAAAUUAAGAGUAAAACAGAGGUAAGAGAAAGUCAGACUCACCCCAUCUCAUUGUAAAUUAAGAGUAAAACAGAGGUAAGAGAAAGUCAGACUCACCCCAUCUCAUUGUAAAUUAAGAGUAAAACAGAGGUAAGAGAAAGUCAGACUCACCCCAUCUCAUUGUAAAUUAAGAGUAAAACAGAGGUAAGAGAAAGUCAGACUCACCCCAUCUCAUUGUAAAUUAAGAGUAAAACAGAGGUAAGAGAAAGUCAGACUCACCCCAUCUCAUUGUAAAUUAAGAGUAAAACAGAGGUAAGAGAAAGUCAGACUCACCCCAUCUCAUUGUAAAUUAAGAGUAAAACAGAGGUAAGAGAAAGUCAGACUCACCCCAUCUCAUUGUAAAUUAAGAGUAAAACAGAGGUAAGAGAAAGUCAGACUCACCCCAUCUCAUUGUAAAUUAAGAGUAAAACAGAGGUAAGAGAAAGUCAGACUCACCCCAUCUCAUUGUAAAUUAAGAGUAAAACAGAGGUAAGAGAAAGUCAGACUCACCCCAUCUCAUUGUAAAUUAAGAGUAAAACAGAGGUAAGAGAAAGUCAGACUCACCCCAUCUCAUUGUAAAUUAAGAGUAAAACAGAGGUAAGAGAAAGUCAGACUCACCCCAUCUCAUUGUAAAUUAAGAGUAAAACAGAGGUAAGAGAAAGUCAGACUCACCCCAUCUCAUUGUAAAUUAAGAGUAAAACAGAGGUAAGAGAAAGUCAGACUCACCCCAUCUCAUUGUAAAUUAAGAGUAAAACAGAGGUAAGAGAAAGUCAGACUCACCCCAUCUCAUUGUAAAUUAAGAGUAAAACAGAGGUAAGAGAAAGUCAGACUCACCCCAUCUCAUUGUAAAUUAAGAGUAAAACAGAGGUAAGAGAA